GCUCGCGCGAGCUCGUCGACCGUGAAAAUCAUUAUUAAGUGGUGGCACAACCUCUCUUCGUCACAGUGUCCUUGCAAUCCCGUCACGAGUUUGAGAAAACGCGCUCAGGCCAGAUGAAAAAACAAAUCCGGGACGAACAGUGGCAAAAUGGCGUGGCGCUGCAGCGGCCGCGGGGAGAAGUUUGCGGACAACCUGGGAUGCGAGUAGAGGUCAGGCAGCGAGAGACGACCGCAUGACAUGGGACGAGAUGCGCAGAAUCUUUCGAGAGGGUUAUCAUAAACGGGAUCUAUGUCGUCGUGUGUUACGUAGUAAAAAUAUAUAGAACGAUUCGUAUCUAUAGUGCACGAAGCACCAGCAGUGAAUAAUAUAUCUAUACGUAAAUCUGAACGUACACAAGCGUCGUAUAUACACGGGGCAUUCCGUGCCAAAACUCGACUUCCUGCUGGCUCAAACUCCGAGAUUUGAUUCACCGCUGUUUAUAUCGCAUUUUUACGUUUAAUAAAUCGAGAUCUGUAAUAACAGUCUGAUCAGCUGUUCGUGACAGCAGAGCAAAAUACUUGGGGGAUCGCGGUGGUCGAAAAAAGGAAAUUAAGUUCUCUCAUUCGUUCGGAAAACACGAAAAAUGUUCGAUGUCCUAUUGAAAUAAAUGUGUAGUGUCACUGCGUUUAUCGAUGUUUUUUGGUAAAAUAAAUUUUUUCAUGCA